rnacentral:rRNA from 1 species
CCUACGGGAGACAGCAGUGGGGAAUAUUGGACAAUGGGGGGAACCCUGAUCCAGCGACGCCGCGUGAGUGAAGAAGUAUUUCGGUAUGUAAAGCUCUAUCAGCAGGGAAGAAAGAAAUGACGGUACCUGACUAAGAAGCCCCGGUUAACUACGUGCCAGCAGCCGCGGUAAUACGUAGGGGGCAAGCGUUAUCCGGAUGUACUGGGUGUAAAGGGAGCGUAGACGGCGAUGCAAGUCUGAAGUGAAAGGCGGGGGGCCAACCCCCGGACUGCUUUGGAAACUGUAUGGCUUGAGUGCAGGAGAGGUAAGUGGAAUUCCUAGUGUAGCGGUGAAAUGCGUAGAUAUUAGGAGGAGCACCAGUGGCGAAGGCGGCUUACUGGACUGUAACUGACGUUGAGGCUCGAAAGCGUGGGGAGCAAACAGGAUUAGAUACCCUUGUAGUC